GAUUUACUCACACAAAACAAUGGGUGUUCUUGAUCACAUAUCUGACAUGUUUGAUUGCUCUUCUGAACACUCAAAGCACAAAAGACGCAAACAAUUGCAGACAGUGGAGAUAAAAGUGAAGAUGGACUGUGAAGGGUGUGAGAGGAAAGUGCGAAGGUCUGUUGAGGGAAUGAAAGGAGUUUCCUCUGUAACAAUCGAGCCUAAACAGCACAAGCUGACCGUAGUAGGCUAUGUAGAUCCAGAGAAAGUUGUGUCUCGUGUAGCCCAUCGCACAGGUAAGAAGGCAGAGAUUUGGCCCUAUGUCCCAUACGAUGUGGUUGCUCAUCCUUAUGCACAGGGUGUCUAUGAUAAGAAGGCUCCUGCUGGAUACGUGCGAAGAGAUGAUUUCCAAACGAACCAACUUGCUCGUGCCAGUUCUACUGAAGUUCGCUAUACUACUGCCUUUAGCGACGAGAAUCCUGCAGCCUGUGUGGUCAUGUGAACGAUAAUAUUAUGAAUCUACUACUCUGUUAUUGUUAAAUUUGUAUUGGUUUUCAUUAUCAUGAUUGUACGGACUGUAUUGAGUAUCCUGUUGUUGAAACUCGUUAAAUUGGCUGUUUACGAGUAAGAAAACUGUACAUGUCA
rnacentral:misc_RNA from 1 species